GCGCACCAGGCGAGAAACCUCCGCAAUGCGGGAAACCGCGACGGGGGACCCCGAGUGCCGUGGCAACGCCACGGCUUUUCCGGAGUGUAAAAAGCUCCGGGAAUAAGGGCUGGGCAAGGCCGGUGGCAGCCGCCGCGGUAAUACCGGCGGCCCGAGUGGUGGCCGCUAUUAUUGGGCCUAAAGCGUCCGUAGCCGGGCCCGUAAGUCCCUGGCGAAAUCCCACGGCUCAACCGUGGGGCUUGCUGGGGAUACUGCGGGUCUUGGGACCGGGAGAGGCGGGGGGUACCCCUGGGGUAGGGGUGAAAUCCUAUAAUCCCAGGGGGACCGCCAGUGGCGAAGGCGCCCCGCUGGAACGGGUCCGACGGUGAGGGACGAAGGCCAGGGGAGCAAACCGGAUUAGAUACCCCUGUAGU
rnacentral:rRNA from 1 species